rnacentral:rRNA from 2 species
GAUGGGAGCUUGCUCCCUGAUGUUAGCGGCGGACGGGUGAGUAACACGUGGGUAACCUGCCUGUAAGACUGGGAUAACUCCGGGAAACCGGGGCUAAUACCGGAUGGUUGUUUGAACCGCAUGGUUCAAACAUAAAAGGUGGCUUCGGCUACCACUUACAGAUGGACCCGCGGCGCAUUAGCUAGUUGGUGAGGUAACGGCUCACCAAGGCAACGAUGCGUAGCCGACCUGAGAGGGUGAUCGGCCACACUGGGACUGAGACACGGCCCAGACUCCUACGGGAGGCAGCAGUAGGGAAUCUUCCGCAAUGGACGAAAGUCUGACGGAGCAACGCCGCGUGAGUGAUGAAGGUUUUCGGAUCGUAAAGCUCUGUUGUUAGGGAAGAACAAGUACCGUUCGAAUAGGGCGGUACCUUGACGGUACCUAACCAGAAAGCCACGGCUAACUACGUGCCAGCAGCCGCGGUAAUACGUAGGUGGCAAGCGUUGUCCGGAAUUAUUGGGCGUAAAGGGCUCGCAGGCGGUUUCUUAAGUCUGAUGUGAAAGCCCCCGGCUCAACCGGGGAGGGUCAUUGGAAACUGGGGAACUUGAGUGCAGAAGAGGAGAGUGGAAUUCCACGUGUAGCGGUGAAAUGCGUAGAGAUGUGGAGGAACACCAGUGGCGAAGGCGACUCUCUGGUCUGUAACUGACGCUGAGGAGCG